AAAACUAGCAAGUGUUACAUGCAUGUGUCUCUGACUUCCAGAGAUUUAUACAAACUAUGCGAGCAAUCCAAAGAACAUUGAUCGUAGCAUCAAGCAUACAGAUCAUCCUGGGUUAUAGCCAAAUUUGGGGACUUUUCUCAAGGUUUUUCAGUCCCCUUGGUAUGGCACCUGUAGUUGGAUUGGUUGACUUGGGAUUAUUUGACAAGGCUUUCCUUCGGUAGGUCUUGCAACUAGAGGGAAUUUGUUGUGAUUAUCGUGUAUGACAAAAUGAUGGACUAGAAAUGGUGUAAAAGUUUUAGUGGUUCACAUGCAAGCGAGUAGGACCUAUCAGAAUGGAUGAGCCUAGAAGAUAUCCUAUGACCAGAUUUGAUCUGAUAGAAUGUUCUGCAUUCCUUGGCCUCUAAUCUUUCACCUUAAUUUUUGGUCAUUAGUUGGGAAACUGCAUCGAAAUUGGGAUUCCAGUGCUCCUAGUUGUCAUUGGAUUGACACAAUAUCUGAAGCACAUAAGGCCCAUCAGGGAUGUUCCCAUCUUUGAACAAUAGAUGUUCAACCACUUGGUAACAAGCUACAACCCUUGCUUUGAGUCCUUUGACAAUGUCCUUGAAUAAGGUAUCAAAUCCGGGCCAGAAUGAUGGAUCCAAACCCAAAUAAAUAACCAUUCAGCCCUUAACCCAAAUAAAUAACCAAUUCAACCAAUUAAUUCAAGGAAAAUUUGAUGGUGCAAUCUAUGGAAAGUUGAACCAGUUUAUUUAGCACUGCAGAUCUACUUAGAGUUAACAGCAAGAUUAACCAAAAAAAAGCCAGCAACUAGAUAGGCACAUAAUGGGGAAAA